rnacentral:rRNA from 1 species
AUUGAACGAUAGCGGGAUGCCUUACACAUGCAAGUCGAACGGAGUGGCGAACGGGUGAGUAAUGUAUCGGAACGUGCCCAGUAGCGGGGGAUAACUACGCGAAAGCGUAGCUAAUACCGCAUACUAUUGGAGCGGCCGAUAUCGGAUUAGCUAGUUGGUGGGGUAACGGCCAACAAAGGCGACGAUCCGUAGCUGGUUUGAGAGGACGACCAGCCACACUGGGACUGAGACACGGCCCAGACUCCCACGGGAGGCAGCAGUUGGUAAUUUUCGACAAUGGGGGACACCCUGAUCCAUCCAUCCCGCGUGUGCGAUGAAGGCCUUCGGGUUGUAAAACACUUUUGGCAGGAAAGCGGUACCUGCAGAAUAAGCACCGGCUAACUACGUGCCAGCAGCCGCGUUAAUUC